AUAUUUUCUAAGUUUUAUAAAUAUAUGUAUUUUAUGCUAUAGUAAAUUAGAACUAGAAAAGUCAUAUGCUUAGCUUUACCUUUCAUUCAUAUAAUUCUCUUAAGACAUUACAACCUUGACUCUUAAACCCACUUCCAUCCAGAACUCUCUUUAAUCUCAGGGUUCCAAGUCCCAAUCACUCUUAGGCCUUAGAGGGCUCUAUUGUAUUUUUCUGUGGCUAGUAAAUAAACUAAGAGCAUGUAAAUUUCUGCAGAACUUUUAAAAACCAGCCUUGAAAGUAAUGUCUUUCACUUCUGUCCAUGUUUCACUGGCCAGAACACAACCAUAUGGUCCCACAUAACUGCCAAGGGCCAAAGAAAUGUUUGCAUUUCAAAAGAAGAGAAAUAACAUGGAUAUUGGUGAGAAACAAUAUUCUCUGCCACAAUAUUUUUAAAAAUGUUUUCUAGCACAGGAUGUAUCACAAAACUGGAUUUUGUUACGUCCCUUAGGAACUCACUAAGACAAACAAUGGUUUUUACUUAAACAACUUUAAUCUUAUCAAACACAUAGCUAGACUUCGUGCCAAUCCUUUCAUAAACUUAACCCUGAGUACAUCUUUGUCCUAAAUCUCUCCCACUGAAAAUAGGGAAAAAAGUCCUCUACCACUGUCUAUCCAUGGGCCUUCUUUACAAUAAUAAUGCAGGAUUUCCUCUGAUAAACUGUACCAUGCAUUUAUAGUGCUUUUUAUUUUUAUUAUUUUGGACUAAUGGUUGGUUAUUCACUGUGGAAAUGACUGUUUUUGAUGGUUUGUUACUCUGAAUUUUAUCUAACAGCAAACAUGUAACUAUCUUGAUGAUGCGUAGGCCAUGUGCUCAAAGCAUGAAGUAACAGAAGAUGAAAGGGUGUCAGAGUGCUCCAUUCCUCAGGGAGUCCUAUGUUAUACCCAGAGACUGCAAGAAAGUGUCAUUGUCAUUGUUCGUCUCUUGAAAUCUAAAAGUGUUUCACAAAGCCAAUUUUUAGAAAUAAGUGUUCUGGGCAGCACCAGUGGCUCAGCGGUUUAGUGCUGCCUUUGGCCCAGGGUAUGAUCCUGGAGACCUGGGAUCGAGUCCCAUGUCGGGCUCCCUGCAUGGAGCCU
rnacentral:lncRNA from 1 species